rnacentral:rRNA from 1 species
GACGAACGCUGGCGGCGUGCUUAAUACAUGCAAGUCGAGCGAACAGGCGAUGACCUUGCUCCUCUGGCGGUAGCGGCGGGCGGGUGAGGAACAUGUGCAUAACCCACCUAUAAGACUGGGAUAACUUCGGGAAGCCGGUGCUAAUACCGGAUUCUUUAUUCAACCUCAGGGUUCAAUAGUGAAAGACGGUUUUGCUGUCACUUAUACAUGGAUCCGGGCGGCUUUAGCUGGUUGGUAAGGUAACGGCUUAACAAGGCAACCAUGCGUAGCCGACCUGAGAGGGUGAUCGGCCACCCUGGAACUGAGACACGGCCCAGACUCCUAGGGGAGGCAGCAGUAGGGAAUCUUGCGCAAUGGGCGAAAGCCUGACGGAGCAACGCCGCGUGGGUGAUGAAGGUCUUCGGAUCGUAAAACUCUGUUAUUAUGGAAGAACAAAUGUGUAAGUAACUAUGCACGUCUUGACGGUACCUAAACAGAAAGCCACGGCUAACUACGUG